UGAGUCGAAUCACAGAUGAAAGCCUUGCUGG
rnacentral:piRNA from 1 species